AGCGAACGCUGGCGGCAGGCCUAACACAUGCAAGUCGAACGAAGUCUUCGGACUUAGUGGCGGACGGGUGAGUAACACGUGGGAACGUGCCUUUAGGUUCGGAAUAACUCAGGGAAACUUGUGCUAAUACCGAAUGUGCCCUUCGGGGGAAAGAUUUAUCGCCUUUAGAGCGGCCCGCGUCUGAUUAGCUAGUUGGUGAGGUAAAGGCUCACCAAGGCGACGAUCAGUAGCUGGCAUGGGAGGAUGAUCAGCCACAUUGGGACUGAGACACGGCCCAAACUCCUACGGAGGGCAGCAGGGGGGAAUCUUGCGCAAUGGGCGAAAGCCUGACGCAGCCAUGCCGCGUGAAUGAUGAAGGUCUUAGGAUUGUAAAAUUCUUUCACCGGGGACGAUAAUGACGGUACCCGGAGGAGAAGCCCCGGCUAACUUCGUGCCAGCCGCCGCCGUAAUAC
rnacentral:rRNA from 1 species